UUAUUCGGACUGGCUGAAAACAUUUUUGACUAACUUUGAAAAAGGAAAAAUUAACUUUUUUUUGAAAAGAAAGCGAUUUUAGAAAUAUUUUGAUUCUUAUAAAAAACUAGUUUUUUAGCGACUUGACUAAGGAUUUAACUAGGUUCGCACAGAAAAUAAGGAAAACAAACAUAAUGAACAGGGGGAGGGGGAGGAAGUAAGGGAUUUGGGCCAUUGGCCCAAACCAACAAAACCUGUCCUAGUCUAAUUGGGCCUUCGACCCAUUUCACCUGUCCUAUUCUAGUUUUUGAGCAUUUGGCUCGAAUCUUGCUCCACCUGUAUUAAAUACAAUUUUGGCUUCCUUGCCCGAAUGAAUGAAUAAAGAAAUAAACUGAAUGGAUAAAAAUAGACAAAUGAAGGCAACAAUGAAUAAGUAAAUAAAAAAGAUGACACUUUCAAAGUUCCUUUGCCGCUUCCAAGAUGGGAUUUUAACCCAUUUCCCUCCUUUUGACUCCUCACGUCCAUAUUCCAUGCGGUGGAUUCUCUUUCGGGCUUGACUCAAUAGACAUAGUAUGCCUCAGUGGCCCAUGAUAAAUAUGCACAAAGGGAAGAGUCAGUGUAGGACUCAAAUGAUUUCCAUGCAAAGGAGGGAAAAAAAUACAUUAGUAUAUAAUCAAGCAAAGAAAGAAGGGGGGAAGAAAGUAAAAUAAAGCAAAGAAAGCCUACUAACACAAGAUCAAUCAAAGAGAGGAAAAAAUUAAAAGGAAACUAAUGCGGUUUUAACUAAAAAGGGCAACGUACGGAUCUUAAAUAAUCAACAAAGCAGGAAAAUUAACAAAGGUUGGUAUGCGAUUAAACAAAGAAGGAAGAAAAUAUAAGGAUAGCUAAUACAUGAUUAAUUAAAGAACUAACCAAAGAACAACAUGACACGGACCUUAACUAGUUAGUUAGGACAUUAUUUUCAAAAAUGGCAAAACAAAUCCAAAAAAAAAGACAUAAAGGCAAAGCAUAUGACACCUUCAUGAUGAAUUUUGAAUAGUUGUUUAUGCACGUAGGGAUAAGACGAGCCCCCAUUUGAGAAGACCAAUUGAAAGACAAUAAACAGUUUGGUGAAAACUCUUAGUCCAAACAAAGGCUCGUUCUUGGAAAAUAUCUAAACUUAGAGUAAGAUUUUAACAUAAAAUUUCCUCAGAGAAAUCACACAUUCUACAUCUAAUAGAACUCAAUCACAACGGAGAAUUAAUCAACACCUAAAGCUUCAUCUUAAAGACAUUCGUUAGCACAAACAGGUGCCUGAAAUAGAGGCAGUGACCAUCCUUCAUUAACACAAUUAAAGAUGCAAUGCAAAUUGCAGAAUGCGAUUCCAUCACACACACACACACACACACAUAUAUAUAUAUAUUAACAUGCUCAUACACAUAUGGAGCCUUUGAAUCUUCAUGAAAGAAAAAGUUUUUAGUUUUAUAAUUCUAUACCUUAAUAGUGAACACUUCAAACUUCAUGAGAGAGUAUUUUGGAUAUAGGAGAAAAAGGGAUUAAUGCAUAACGUCAAAACAAAGAGAAGAUAACCAGUUAUAAGAAUGGUUGAGAUGAUAGACAUUUGAAUAGAAGAAAAGAGGAACUGUGUAAGAAAAUAAUCGAUUGGGAGAAAAGUAAAAAUUGAUCACAUAACAAUAUUUCAAACUUUAAAUACGAGUCAACCCAAGCAAAACCAACACCCACAGAAUAGAAAUGCCAUCUUGAGUAAUGACAUAAAAAUUAGAAGGACAGCUACAGGCUUUAAUAUACUAGCAUAGGAUUACACAAAGUUGUAUUGAAUUCGAACAAAAGCUGCGCAAAAGAAAAUUAACAACUUACAUUCAAGCUGAACAAAGUAAUCAUAUAAUCUUAGGAAAAACAAGAUUUUCAAAAUGAAAUGCUAAUUUAUACGGACGAGGUAGUAAAAAAAAUCAAUAUAACAAAACAACCAUCAAAUCAAAUCUUCUUCGACAAAACAAAAACAAACCAAUAAGGAUGACUUCUCGAUCAAACAGUCGAUUGAAAAUCCUAUAGCCUUUUAAGGCUUUUGCAACAAACAGUCCAGCAAACAGAGCAACACGACAAUUUUUGCAACUAUGAAAUAACGAAAAGAAAGAAUCAAGGAAGACGGAAACUAGAGGAUGGAACAUUACCGAUUCAAUAGUUACGAUAACGAUAAAUAGUGACAACGAGCAAAAGGACAGAUUGUUUCAAUCCUCCUCCUCGCUCUGAAAGACUCAAAUAAAAUAGUUGUCAAGGAAUCCUAGGAUUUUCUAGCAUAUUUUGGACCUUAUUCAUUGUCCUUUUGGCAUAUGAGAAGCCCAAGGAGUUUAAGAAGUAGUCUCACUGAUGGAACCCCCAACUAGACUACAACAUUAACGAAUGAAACCCCAUGAUAUUUAAGUAAAUAAUAGAACGAAAACAAAAGGCGCAAACUUUAGACGAUGAACCACGACGCAAACAACCAUUAAUUUAAUAAAAAUCAGGGCUAAGCUAAUCAACAAUGUCAAAUAAGCAAUAGAUUACAAAGCCAGAUGGAGAUGAAAAAGAGCCCAGCAGCUAAGGCAAAAAAUUAUCACAACCAGAUAAUACAACCAACAUAGCUUUCACCAAAAACCUACGGCCUUCAAGGCCUUUGCAGCAGACAAAUCAGCCUCAUUCAUGACAAACAGAUAACUACUUCUACGAAGAAAGAGAGAUGACGUAGAAAACAAUGAAAUUAAAAGGGAUGAGCGUGUGUUUACCUCCUUCGGGGCAGAAAAAUGAAACUUCGAGCUCCUUUGGACUUUACCACCACUAAGAAAAUCAGUAUCAAUGCGAAAGCCUCGACUAAACGAAUACCUUUCUUGGAUAUUUUUCGAACAAAAACUACUAUUUUCCCAAAAACCAAAUAGCUCUUUCCCAAAAACCUUUCUUCUUGACCCAAAAGAAAUUUUCUCCCACCUAAUUUCCUUGGAAAAUUUCGAGCCCCUCUCUUUCUGCCUCUCAAUUUUCCAACCUUUGAUUUUCAUAAAUUUUUCAAUCUCCUUACUUUUUGAGCCUAACCUCUGAAAGAAGAGAAAGACUUCCUUAGAAUUUUCAGCCCAUGAUUUUUGAAUUCUAGUUCUCGAAAAAGACCCCCCAAGCCAGAACCUCAAAAAUCCAAUCCCUAAAGCUGUGACCUAAUCAAUUCUUAUAUAGAAGACGGAAAUUUGGAGGAAUCUUAGGGAUUUUUUCAGAGGGAAUUCGAAAUUCAAAACCCCUAGAAUCCCUGGAUCAUAACCAAUUUGGAUUUUCUUUCACAAAUCUGAAACCAGUGGACCAAUCAAAUAUGGGGAAGAUAAAAAUAUACCCAAGAACCAAUGAAAAUUUACCAAAUAUGUACGAAUCCAUACGAGUUAUCCCAAAAUUUAUGGAAUUGAACCGUUGGAGACGACACCUAGGCUAUUUUUCCAUAAGCUUCGAGGUUCUUUCUUAUUAUACUAUCACGUGAGGCGUGAGAAGAAGGCUACAAAUGGGUCGGUUAUGGGUUGUUGGUUGUAAGAAUCGUGUUACGUCUUUGCUGAUAUUGGUUAAGCGCUAGGUCAAUUUUGGGGGAGCUGGGUUCGACUGUUCGCGAUUUGGAAGCCAGAAGUCUGUUUGCAGUUGUUUGCUAGGUUAGGAGAAGAGAUUAAGAGGAUGGGGCUGGGUCAUGAUGUUUGGAAGGUGGGCUGGAGCAGUAUUUUUUAUUGUUAUUAUUUUGGGCCGAAAUUAUUGGGGUGAGAUGUUGGGUUAAUUAAGCUAAAUGGGGAAAUUGGGCUGAGCGCGUUUAGGAAGUGGGCCGGGUUAAGAUGUGUUGAAAAAAAAAGAACAAGGGCUGGUGACUUAGUAUUGGGCCUGGGUAGGUUAGAAUAAAUUAGGAUUGGAAUUAUUACUUUACAAAAUAGCCAACUUGACAUGAGAUUUGAUCCGUUUCGUCCAAUCUUGGCCAAUUGAGAAUUAGUUAGUCAGUUGCCCUGCAAUUGUGGCCUAAUUAAUUUCAAUUAUGGCCCAUUUCAAUAUAUUGGCUAAAUUAAAACAAGAUCCCAUGAGAAUUAUCAACCGUUUAAUCUCGAACUUAUUGAUUUAAUAAAAUUAAUCAAGUAUUUAUCCAAAUAAAUUAUUUUCAGAGUAGAUCAUAUUAAAAUCAAGAUCUUAAUCAUUUGAAUUUAGUUUCAAAAUUAAUCCCUAAUUAAAAUUUGAUAUUGAUAAAAAAUUUCAUUUAUACAAUCUCGUAUAUGUAAAUACAAAAAUAUAUAAUUAUCAAUUAAAUAACAAAUUUAGCCCAAAUACAUAUUUUAAAAUGCAUUUAUUUGGAAAAAAAUGAUUGUUAAGAUUUUAUUUGAAAAUCCAAGAAACUCGAGAUUAAACGUAGUUGUGGAGGGCCAAAAUUAGGUGUCAACAACUGCCCCCUCCCUUUGGGUAGGAUGGAUACAAGUAGUCCUGGGCAAAGGGAGGUUGACGUUCCUAAUUUUUGUCCAACCACAAAUUCAAAUCUAGAAGAUGUCGGCUUCCAUAUGAGUUUCAUGAAGUUAUGGCCGAACCUCGGUAUCAGGUUUCCUACAUAUCUCAGGUUUCAUGAGAAUUCAGGCCACUUGUCGUUCAUAAAGCUUGAUUUUAAGCAUGAUUUUCAAGAAAAUUCACCAACUCUCACGGUUUUAGAGUUUUUGAUUAAAUCGAGAAGCUAGGGAAUAAAGGUAUUUCGGGGAGGUUGGAAUGCAGUCGAGUUUUCUACAUAGAUCCCAGCCUACAUAUCCCCAAAACUCAGGAAAUAAGACUGCUUGUAGUUCAACUCAAUCGGUAGAAAAAAUAGUCUUUUAUUUCAGACCAUCUUUGGCUCGGAAUGAGUGACAAGAUGAUCAAAAUGCGGAAAAGAGGCUUGUAACCUCUUAACCAUGAAUGUGGGAUCAUUCACAUCCAUAGGCAAGAACUUACCUGGACAUAAUUUUCAAAACUCUAAGUGUGUUGCCACCCGAAUGUGAAAGAAAGAGAAGGUUACCCUUAGCAUGAGUUUAGAAAUAUUCGGAAGGUGAAGCUGAAACCAGAAUACCCAGAAAUACCCAUAUGCCUUCAAACAUGGGUGUGGUUGGAUGGUGGUGGUGAUUAUCCUUUAGCUCGCGUCCAAAAAGUUUGACGUCCCUCUGUAGACUACGUCCCGUUUUGCUACUAAGAAACAGUUCCAUAUUGUGCUGCAUCCUUUUUGGAGUCAUCCACACUUGUGGGUUUGAUUUGAGAUUUUCAUCCUCUCGGAUGCUCUCGACAAUAUCUCAAACAAAAUUAUUAGUGCUAAACAUAAUUCACGAAAGAGGCAUAUAGUUUUUUACCAUAUCUCCACGUGAGUUGUUGUCCAAGAAGCGAAGUCAUCUUUCCAUGUACCUGUUUGGAAUGAAAUAACUGGCAACGACAAACACUUGUUGUAUAAUUAUGAAAUUUGUCAGUUGAAUGUCUUCAAAGUGGGGUGGCCCUUUUGGACACCGGCGACACUUUAUGCAGAACGGUCCCUGCAACCAUGUAAUCUUGUGCUGGUGUGGAAACCCUUUUGGUUACCUAUAUCACUUGUUGUAUGUGGAAUGAUAACCUCUCUAGUUAUAGUCGAUGAUUGCUUUAUAAAUUUCCCUUAAAUUGUCAACCUUUGGAUAAUCAUGCGCAUUAUUUGAUGUUGGAUACGAGGCGACUUACAGUUAUCCUUUGAAUUGCUAAACUCUAGGUAAUCCCUCACAUUAUCCGACCUUGGAUAAGAGAUGGCUUACAGAUAUGCCUGCAAUCACUAGCUUUCAGGUAUUCCUGCACAUCAUCUGACCUUGGAUACAAUAUGACUUAUAGAUAUCACUCAAAUUGCUAAUCCUUGGGUAAUCCUGCACAUAAUUGAUAUUGGAUAUGAUGCGGCUUAUAGAGAACCCUUGGACAUAUCAAUUUGAUAAUCUCGCAUAUUCUCCAGUAAGGAUUUAGUUGUAACUUAUGGAUAACCUCCAGACUAUCGAUUUUUGGGCGAUCUUGCACACUAUCCGGUUAGGAUGUUGUUGUGGCUUACGGAUGACCUACAGGCUAUCAACUCAUAGGUAAUCCUGCACACUAUCCUAUUCAAAUAAUAUAACUUAUAGAUGACCCUCAAAUUGUCAAUUUCUAGGAAAUCUUAUAUAUCAUUCAUCCUUAGAUAGCGACUUAAAGACGUCCCUCCAAAUCGUGUGCUCUUGAUGCAUUUGGAUGCUGAUUCAUAAAAAGAUGAGAUAUCCUCGAUGUCAGUGUUUAUGUCUUGCGUGUCAAUAUAUAUAAAAUGAUGAUGAGAUCCUCGACGCUAGCAUUUCUGUCUAGCAUGUCAAUAGAUAUUGAAUGAUGAUGAUAUCCUCGACGCCAGCGUUUCUUCUAGCGCAUCAACAUAAAUUGAAUGAUGAUGAUAUCCUUGAUGCCAGUUUUUUGUCUAUUGUGUCAACAUUUAUUAAAUGAUGAUGAUAUCCUAGACUCUAGCGUUUCUGUCUAGCGUAUCAACAGAUAUUGAAUGACGAUGAUAUCCUCGACGCCAAUAUUUCUGUCUAGCGUGUCAACAAAUAUUAAAUAGCCUUCUUGGGCGAUGGUAUGAGAUGGCACUCUUGGAAAUGAUAUACAAUGGCCCUCUUGGCAAUGAUAUGUAAUGGCCCUUUUGGAAAUGAUAUGAAAUGGCCCUCUUGGCAAUGAUAUGCAAUGGCCCCCUCGGCAAUGAUAUAUAAUGGUCCUUCCGGUAGUUUAAAAAUAGUUUCACCUGAAUUCAUUUGUCAGCAUCUUGCUUUGUACAUGUACCUUUACUCAAGGUAGAUGAUUAGUAGACACAAAGUCGCUUUUGCUAGCGACCAUUUUUUAGAAAAAUUCUAAAUACAAUAUUUGUAAAGAAGACAAGACACUUUUGUUUGUCCUCCAUGAUCUCAAGAAAUGAGAUGGACAAUUUAAAAGGUCCUCAAUAAAUGGUAUUAAACCCAUUUUUGGGGCUACCCAAAAAGUAUCGUUAUCAAGCAUUAUAUACUCUGUUAUGGCUCCCGACUUUCUUAGGGAUUUUUUGAAAGAAACGCUCAUUUUUGUGUAUCGAUCCCUGCAUCCACAAAGAAUGAUUAGUUUGAAUGAAACUACUCCAUGUUGACCUCCUUCGAUUCUUGAUUUUCUCCUCGCAAUCUUUCAGGUACUUCAUUAUGUUGGGACUUCCACCCCCGACUCUCCAUCCCAAUUGAUGUCUAGGCAAUCACUAAGUAAAAGAUUUAUAUAGAUUUUUGAAAGUAGUCUUAAUUUUUAGAAGAUAGUUUCAAAAGCUUAAAUAAAACUUUAGAAGAUCUCUGCCAAUCAUGUUAUGUAAUAGCUCAACGAACAUCUGCCUCUUGAUUUUGACUAUAUCUGACGGAGGAUUUCCAAAACUCAUCAUCAUUGUUGGAGGGUUCUUCAAAUAGUUCUGUCAUAGCCAAAAAUUAAGUCUACCUAGACUUUGUCACAAUUGGUGGCUUCAAGAGCUUGGCUUAAACCUCUGGUAGUGCUGGAGAAUUUGAAAUAUAUUCUAGUAGUUGGUGGAAAUUGUAAGGUCUCCCUCAAAAUUUCUACCCUAGUUUAGAGUAGUCUGAGAUGAUAUCAUCUUGAGUGGAUCUGAAGCCUUUACCGAUCUUCAUCCUCUUUGUUGGAUGUUGAUUUUGUGAAUUUUUGAGAUUCCUUCUCCAAAAUUCUGCCCUAGUUUCUAUUUUCUGGGGUUAUAUGACUGAGCCAUUGGGGUGCCUAUGUAUCCCGUUGAAGCAAGAAUCAGGUCAAACGUAGUUCAAGACUAUGCUAGGUAUAUACAUAGAAAAAAUCUAAUGGGUUGACCGAAGCUGACAUAGGUCGCCUACGUAUCCCUUUCUUGGGAAUUCAGGUCAAACAUAGUUCGUACAUAAAGAGAAAUGAUAAAUUAUCCAAAGGGGUUGACCGAAGCCAAUAUAGGCCACCUACGUAUCCCUUUCUUGGGAAUUUAGGUCAAACGUAGUUCUAUAUAAAGGAAAGGAGUUCUAGGAAAUUACACAUCAUAAAACACAUUAUUACACGACAAUUACAGAUAAAAUAAGAACCACAAAACUAGAACAUCCUUCAAAUGUAGUAUCUUUUUACCGCAUCAGAAUUGAUUGGUUGGUCCACUCUUGGCUAUCCAUCUCAGACAAAAUCAGAGCCCCUCCAGAUAGUACCUUGCGAACUAUGUAUGGACCUUGCCAAUUUGGAGCAAACUUUCCCUUGUACUCUUCUUGGUGGGGGAGUAUGCGUUACAGAACUAAUUGCCCAACUUCAAAUGUUCGAGCUCUCACUUUCUUAUUAAAAGCACAAAUCAUCCUGUGCUGAUAUAACUGACCAUGACACACAGCAACCAUUCUCUUUUCAUCAAUCAACAUGAGUUGUUCAUAACGAGUGAGAACCCAUUAUUCGUUACUUAGUCCGUCUUCCUAAAUAAUCCUCAGGGAAAGUAUUUCAACCUCAUCAGGUAUCACAACUUUAUUCCCAUAAACAACCAAAUAGGGAGUUGCCCCAGUGGAGGUUCGAACUAUUGUAUGAUAUCCCAGCAAAGCAUAAGGUAAUAUCUCAUGCCAUGAUCUAUCAUUUUUGACCAUCUUUCUCAAGAUCUUCUUGAUGUUCUUAUUGGCAGCUUCCACGGCUCCAUUCAUCUUUGGACGAUAUGCGGUCGAGUUACGAUGCACGAUUUUGAACUAAUCAUAAAUUUCAUUCAUCAAGUGACUAUCCAAGUUUGCCCCAUUAUCAGUAAUGAUUGAUUCUGGCACUCCGAAUCGAUAAAUCAAGUUAUUCCUGACGAAAUAUGCAACCACUUUCUUAGUGACAGAUCAGCAGCUUCAACCCACUUAGUGAAGUAGUCAAUAGUAACCAAAAUAAAUCUAUGCCCAUUCGAUGCCGAUGGUUCUAUUGGUCUGAUAACAUCCAUGCCCCAAGCUACGAAAGGCCAAGGUGAAUUCAUUGCAUGAAGCUCGUGUGGAGGCAUUCAAAUCAAAUCUCCGUGUGUCUAAUAUUUUGGACAUCUUUGCACAUACUUACUACAAUCAUUCUCUAUAGUCAUCAAGAAGUAGCCAGUUCUCAGGAUCUUUCUGGCAAGGACAAACCCAUUUAUGUGGGGUCCGCAAACUCCCGCAUAUACUUCCUUUAUCAAUUUAUUAGCUUCCAUAGCAUCGACGCAUCUUAAGAAUCCUAAAUCAAGUAUCCUCCUAAAAAGAAUUUCCUCACUUGGAAAGUAGUUCUUUGCCAAACGUCGGAUUGUUUUCUUUUGGUUGUUACUGGCCUCUUCAGGAUAUAUUCCAGAUUCUAAAUACCUUUUAAUAUCAUAGUACCAUGGCUUUCCAUCAGGAUCUUCUUUAACGUGUGCACAAUGCGCGGGUUGCUCCUUCAAGUUUAUUUCCAAAGGAUCAAUGUAACUCUGAUCUGAGUGCCGAAUCAUGGAGGACUAGUGGCCAAACCAUCAGCAAACUCAUUUUGUAUCCUUGGGAUAUGUCUGAAAUCAACUUCUUUGAAUUUUCCACAUAAUUCCUAUACCAGCUUAAUAUAAGGAGUAAUCUUGGAAUUUUUUACCGUCCAUUCUCCCCCUACCUGGUGAAUCAGUAAAUUUGAACCCCCGAUGACUAGCAAUUCAUGAACACCCAUAUCAAGUGCCAAUUUGAGAUCUAGGAUGCAAGCUUCAUAUUUGGCCAUGUUGUUGGUCAUGGGAAAUGCAACUUAGCAGUUACUGGAUAUGUUGACCCAUUUCUGAGACCAACACUGCUCCGAUUCCUGAACCUUUGAAGUUGACCGCUCCAUCAAAGAAUAACCUCUAUUCAGGGUAAAUUUCUAUAAUGUCUUUUCCCAUGAAUAGAAUUUCCUUAUCUGGGAUGUAAGUUUGAAGUGGUUUAUAUUUAUCAUCAACUGGAUUCUCUGCCAAAGCUUGCCCCUUAAUUGUCUUAUGAGUUACAUACACGAUGUCAAACUCGCUCAGCAACAUUUGCCACUUGGCUAGCUUUGGGCAUGGUCUUCUGGAAUAUAUACUUCAAUGGAUCCAUUCUCAAAAUAAGGUAUGUCGUGUACGAAGAUAGAUAAUGCCUUAAUUUUUGUGUGGCCCAAGUCAAAGCGCAACAUGUCCUUUCUACAAGAGUGUAACGGGCUUCAUAUGGCGUAAACUUUUUACUCAAGUAGUAAAUGGCUUUCUCUUUCCUACCGGUCUCAUCAUGUUGCCUGAGGACACAUCUAAAAGCAUUUUCUAAGACUGACAGGUAAAGAAAUAAUGGCAUUCCUUCUCUUGGCGGAACCAAAACUGGCGGUGCAGACAAAUAUUCCUUGAUGCGGUCAAAAGCCCUCUGACAUUCUUCUGUCCACUCAUUAAAUGCGUUUUUCUUCAACAUCUUGAGAAUUGGCUCGCAUAUGACUGUCGACUGAGCGAUGAACCUGCUAAUGUAAUUCAAUGACCCAUGAAACUCAUAACUUCCUUCUUGGUUCUCAGCGGUGGCAAGUCCUGAAUCGUAUUGAUUUUGGAUGGGUCUAGCUCGAUGCCUCUUCUACUGACUAUGAACCCCAACAACUUCCUUGAUGGAACACCAAAAGCACACUUAGCAGGAUUUAACUUCAAACUGUACUUUCUUAAUUUGUUGAAGAAUUUCUCCAGAUUGGUUAGAUGAUCCGAACUCUCGCGGGAUUUGAUAAUUACAUCAUCCACGUACACCUCAAUAUCUUUAUGGAUCAUAUCAUGGAAAAUCAUCGUCAUAGCCCUCAUGUAUGUUGCACCCACAUUUUUUAGGCCAAACGGCAUUACCCUGUAAUGAUAAAUACCCCAGGGUGUAAUAAAAGCCUUCUUUUCUGCAUCUUUCUCAUCCAUCAAUAUAUGAUAGUACCCGGCAAAACAAUCAAUGAAUGACUGCAUUUCAUGCUUUGAACAGUUAUCGAUGAUCAUGUGGAUGUUGGGCAACGAAAAAUUAUCUUUAGGACUAGCUCUAUUCAAGUAUCUAUAGUCAACACAAAUUGAAAUCUUCCCGUCUUUCUUCGGCACUGGGAUGAUGUUGGCUAACCACGUCGGAUGUUUUGUGACCUCCACAACCUUAGACUAGAUUUGUUUUGUCACUUCUUCCUUGAUCUUUAGACUUAAAUCUGGCUUGAAUUUCCUCAUUUUUGCUUGAGUGGAUCAAACUCUGGAUUUAUCAGCAACUUAUGCGACACAAUGCUGGUGCUCAAUCCCGGCAUAUCAUCAUAGGACCAAGCAAACACAUCUAUAUAUUCCCACAAUAGGUGAAUGAGCUCUCUCUUUUGUGCUUCCGCCAGGUGGACACUGACACUUGUUUCUUUGAUUUCAUCAUGAUCUCCAAGGUUGUCUGUUUCAGUUUCCUCUAGGUUGGGCUUCUCCCAGUUCUCAAACUCUUCUACAUAUUCAACUAAUCGUUUCUCAUCACCUCCCUUCCAAUCAUCAUCAUUCCCCUCAUUUUGUUCGUCUAAGCUUUGACAUGACAUGACAUUGGUAGAUUUUGAGUUACGAUUACUGUAAUAAACAAACAAACCAAGUUAGAUGAUAACAAGAUAAUAAUAAAAUGUACGAAUAGUGGUGUUUCAAAAAAUAAUUUAUUAUUAUUAUUAUUAAUAUUUUUUUUCAAAAUAAGGGAAGGCCUUUUUAUUAAAAUUUGAGAGAUAAUUACAAACUAUGGCUCACGACUCGCGCAAACACAAGCCCAUGCCUUUUAAAAGCAGUAAAAUACGAAAAGGAAAUUUGAGAUGUAAAGGGUGGAUUGGGGGGCCUCAUCCGAAUCAUCAUCGAUUUUAAAAAGCUAUUAGUAGUUGCCCUUUUAUCUACCACGAUGGGUGAUGGGUUAUGAAUGGAGUGGUGGUCCAAUUUUGCAAGGCCUCCCCUGGUGCAAUCUUCUUCACCCCACUGGACUUCGAGAAAUCUUCUGGUACAGCAUUGCAUCCAUCGAACAGAUUUUCUAUCCCAUCCCCAAGACCAUUAUCAUUCAACAUCUCACACAUGGGAAAUGACUGGUAUAAGAGCGGUAAGGGCCUAAACAGACUCGCCUCUAAUUUAUUCUCAAUCUCAUCCUCCUUUGUAGGCCAAUAUCCUAAACCAUACUUAAAGGCUUUCUUUGGGAUCAUGAUAGGCUCAAUAAUUCCUUGCAGACUCUUACCCAAACCUCAUCCAGGAUCAAAUCCAUUUCUUAACAUCACCGUCACAAUCAUUUUGUAGACAGAAGGCAUUGGCGCUUUGAGCGUCAGAUCCUUCUCCACAGCAUUUUCAAUUUCCACCGUAUAGAAACUACUACCCUUUGGAACAUCUUCAAUCACCGGCAUAUAACCAUUGGGAUGAUUCGCUCGACUUUCUUCCCCUUGGAUGACUACUUUAUAAUCCUCCCAAAUGAACUUCAAUAGUUGGCCUUUUCUGCGAAUCUUUUUUAUUGAUCAAUUCUUCAGGGAUGUAGCAUCGUCCCAAUCGCAUCAUCCCUUGGGCAGCAGCGGUGUGUACAGUAAAUUCCUUCCGUGGUGGGGGAGUGUACACUUAGAUCGGGGUCAUCAUCACUAUAAAUGGGGUUUUCUCAUUAACACUUAAGCAUCCACGGUUCUCUCUAUCUUUUCUACCUCUUCCACCCUUUUGCACUUUUCUAAAUUUACCUUAGUAAUAGUCUUGCCAGAUAACCAUUCUUCUUCUAUCUCAAUCAUGUUAACUGUAGGUCCUCCAUGAUUAGGCAAUAGGUUACUGUUGACAUUUGGCAUCGGUGACUGAAGAGUGAUGACCUUUUGAUCAAUCAGAUCUUGGAUCUUAUGUUUCAAGGUAAUACAGUCCUCGGUACUGUGCCCUGCUACUCCUGAAUGAUAGGCACAAUUUUGAUUAGGAUGAUAAAAUCCGAAGUUGGGAUUGAUAGGCUUUGACUGUAUCGGUUGUAAAUGACCGACAUUCUUCAAUCUUUCGAAUAAUUGAGUAUGACUUUCAGCUAGUAGUGUGAAGUUUCGGGGAGGUUUCUUUCCGUAGUUUGGACGUGAGGGGUUAUAGUGGCUUUGAUUUACAGGUGGAGUUAAUUGAUGAUAAUUUAGAGGUGCUCAGAUAUUUUUUUGGUUAUUUGGAAGAGUGGAUUAGACAUGAGACAGAUAAUUUGGAGGUGGAACUUGGUAUUGGGGAAAGAUAUUUGGUUGUGGAGCUUGGUAUUGGGAUUGGAUGUUUGGGAUUGGAGUUUGAUAUUGAGGUUGGACAUUUAAAGUGAAGCUUGGUAUUGAGGGUGGGCGUAGAACACAUGUUGAAGGCUUGGUGACAACAGAGAAGAGAAAGCAUUCCUAGAGUUGAACCUCUUUUUUUUUUUUUUUUUGCAACAGAACUAGCAGAAAUCGUGCCUACAUCCUUCCUUUUCUUCUUGGAGAAAAUGGCAGUCCCGGAUGAUGUCAGGGUUUUGGCAAUUUUUCCUGUCCGAAUACCUUCUUCCAAUGAUUCUCCUAUUUUUACCAAAUCCGCAAAAGUUUCCCUGACAGCGAACACCAUCCUGGUUAAUAUUCUUCUUCUUGAGCGCGAGAGAAUAUAGAUACUAUUUCUUCCUCGGACAUGGGGGGUUACACUUUGGCAGCUUUCAUCCUCCAACGAAAAGCAUAGUCUCAGAAACUCUCAUCACUCUUCUGUUUGAUUCGAUAUACUGAAUACCAGUCCGGGACUAUUUCACUGUUGAAUGCGAACCUGUCGAGGAAACCCUUGGCCAAUGCUUUCCAAUCAGUCCAUCUUUUCAGCUACUGAGACGUGAACCACUCUAAGGCUUCACCGCUUAAACUUUGGUUGAAUAGGCACAUCAAUAAGGCCUCGUUUUUCCCAAUCCCUACAAGUUGCUCACAGUACCUCCUAAGAUGGGCCAUUGGAUUUUUGGCACCAUCAAAUACUUCAAACUUGGGGACCUUGUACCCUUCUGGUAGAUCUACUCCAGGGUGAACACAUAAUUCAUCGUACCCUAAAAUGUCGUGGUCCCUUGCUCUAUGAGAUUAUUUGAUCCUCAUGAUCUCUUCAUUCAUAGCUAGAAACUUGAUUUCAUGCUCAGUCCUCCACUCUUUCUCCUUCUCUUUGUAAUGGUCCAUCUCAGGAUUAGGAAGGGGAUUAUAGAUGUCGGGGGAUACGAUGGCAUGAGGGGGAUUUGGAAGGGAGGCUUGAUUUUGCGGAUGAAAUGAAGUUGGUUGGUAGGUAGGGAGGACGUUUUGAAAUUUAAAAAGGUUUUGUGGAAUUUGUGAGUAGUUUGUGGCAUCUGAGAAGGAUUUUGUGAAUUUAGAAACGAAUUUGGUAGAUUCGGGGAUAGAUUCAAUGGAAGAUUCGGGGAUGGAUUUUGUGGAUUUGGGAGUGAAUCUUAUGGAUUUGGACAUGAAUUUUGUUGAUUUGCAAAUAGGUUUUAGGGAUUUGGGAAUGGAUUCGGAGAUGAUUUUUGUGGUGUUAGAGAUGGAUUUUAUGGAUGGUAAGCAUGGGUUAUUUUCGUGAUUGGUAUUUUGGACAAGUGGAAGGCCAAAGACGGACGAUAUGUUAUUUGGCUGAUCCCCGAGAAUAGGCGUACUUAGGGAAGGGAUUUGGAGUGGAGUCCCGUGUCCUCCUGGAGCGGGAGCAUUAACAGUGAUGGCUAGGUGAUCCAAAUAUCGAGUACGAUUGAAGCAUUUCAUGCUUUCUUGCGAAUUCUGUAAUCAUCUCACUCUGAAUGAUGGUCAGAGGAUGGGAUUUUGUGAUCUUUUGACCGGGUGAAGUAGGGAUGUUCUGCCAGCUCAUAUCAACACGGAGUAGUUUCUAUUAUCUGUAAAGUAAAACAACUUAAAGGCAGAUGUGUUAGUUUCUGUAUGUGAUAAGUAAUGCAAAAUAUUUGACAAGAAAUAACUAUGUAGAUUUGUUUGAGUCAUGCCAAAUUCAUCCAUAGGAGUAUAGCGGAUAAACUUGCCUUUGAUCCAAACAACACACAUAAGCACAUAAAACAAAUAUAUUACACAAAACAUUAUAAUAAUGCGUAUCUUAACUGGGGUGACCCUUUUUGAGCCAAGGGUUCAGGCCUAACGAUUUUGAAGAAAAUAUAUUCUUUCUUAAAGUCAAUCCAUUAUCCCCCAACUUAUAUAGACACGAAAAAAGGCAUAAAUGACUACAAAAGAUAACAAAAGAGGGAUACAAUUUUUAGGGGAAAAGGGAAAUAACAUGAAAGAAAAUAAGUUCCCGCGCAGGGGAAAUAGAAAAACUAGCUACCGGAAGAUCCUUCAUUUGCCUUUGCCUUCUUUGCCUUGUUCACCUUCUGUGCCUUGCUAUCGUAAGUCAUUUUUCCUAUACUAUCGAGUUAAGAGGCCAUGCUAUCAUCCAAAUCGAUUAAACACUGCCUAGCAUCAUCAACCUCUUGCCUAGCUCUUUUCAACUCUUACCUCAACAUACGUAUUGUUAAAGCAUCUUCUACAUGCAUCUGUCAGUGCGCGAUUUCACUUUUCUAAAACUCAUCCUGAAGCCUGUAGAGUCGGAUCUGAUGUUCGGAUUCUACAUCCACGACCCGAGUGGGCAUAUUUGACCCCGGAAUCCGUUCUCUGGCGAGGCUUUUUUUUAACCACUCCUUGUAAAUGUCGCUGACUUCAGGUUCGUACACUAUACAAAAAGAGACUUCGAACCACCUUCUCCUUCUCCAUUCGUUUAUCAUGUAGUCUUUGAGCGGAGGCUCGCUUUCAUCAUAUUCUGUGAAGAAUCUGAGCAUAGAAUCAAUUUGAGGCAUCUCCUGCUUGAUCUCGAAUCGCCUAAGAACUCUGCCAGAAUUGUAGGGACGGGUUCCCUUGAGACACAAAAGCACUAGAAAAGGCCACUUGUCUCCUCCAAUAAUGUAUUUCCCUGAACGAAGAUAGUUAAUGGACCAUUGGAUAUCGUCAUCUCUUAAUUCUCCAAGAGUCUUAAACCAAAAUUCAUGAGAUGCUUCCCUUUUGAACUUAUGUAAAAACAACCAUAUGUCGUGCGAUUCUAGCAGAUUGCUCCUUGUUUUGUGGUCAGGUUGUGCCGUUCUAGGAUUUUCACCAAAUGCAUCACUAUCCACCAUUGUAAUAUAAGGUUGUAUCCUUGAAAGAAAUGAUUCUCAACUUGACACCUUCCCAAAGCUCGAUAUAUGUCGGCGACAAUCAUGGGAUCUAAGUUGUGGAAUACCUUUUUAGAAUUGUACUUUAUUCCAAAGAAGAGUGCAUGGGUAACGGAGACAACCCUCAGAUCAAUUGUGCCAUUUUCACCCUGUGGAACACCAUGGUUCCAAGUAGACCUACCGCAAACGCAAAGGCUAUCGUCUCCUUCCAUUUUGCUUCUGACUCAAAUUUAUGCCCAAAUUUGUAAAAAGCAUUGAAUCUUCCGAACCGAUGAUACAACUCAUGAAAAGUGAUAUUUUCUUCAUCACGUUCUCCUAGACAGGUGUCGUCAUCAGUUAAAAAUACCUCUUUGAUCUUUUGAUGAUCCCAUACAACCGGGACUAAAAUGUUCUUAUCAGGUGUCUCCCUUCUCGUAAAACACAUUUCCGUACUCUCGUAACAAAUCAAUACCUCUUCAAUGGUAGGAGUCAAUUCAAUAUCCCCGAAGUGAAAUACCAUAUUUUGAUCAUCCCAAAAAGUUUUUAGUACAUGGGUGGUCAUUUCAGGCCAAGCGUCCAUCUCGAUCAAAGAAGGAAAAUGCCCAAUGUGUGUUCUAAUAAUAUUUUUAUCUUCUUCGCUCAUGUGGUCCCACCAUAGUUUCAAGAAAUUGUCAGGUUUAGUAACCAUCUUGAACUUUUUAUGGGAAUGUAGCUGAGUCAUAUCCUACAUGAAAGCAGACAAAGAUAAGCCUUCCCCCGACCCCAAAGAAUAUUGGAUUGAAUUAGACAAGCAUGUAUUUUCUCAACACAUAAAUAUGAUUUGUUUUUAAUUGACUCAGGGUCAAUAGAUGCAGGGCAGAUUUUCUAAUGGGCCCAAUACCCCACUCGGGUAUUGGGUCAUCCUAGGCUCAUGCCUAAAAUAGGGUUUUGGUUUCAUUCUAUCCUCGAUGUCUAGAGUAGGUUUAAACACUGGUUCUCAAGCGGACAACUUGAGUUUGAAAAUACGAACAACCGUCAAAUGACUCACGUUCUAAUAAGUCGUUCGUAUUUCCAACAUAUUUUGGAAAUGAACAACAGGGGCCGGGACAUCUAAGAAACCCCAAAAUAGUUAAAUAAUGCAGGAAUAUGCCAUGAGAUGCGAUAAUUGAACUUAACAGAAUCAAAACACAUAAAUACAUAAACAGUUAAUCAAAAGACAAAAAUCAAACAUUUGGUUAGAACCUAGUUAAAGUCCCCACCAGAUUCGCCAUUUCUGUUUUGUGGAGAAAUUUUGAAAUUUUGAGAAGACCCGCCACUUAAUUUUGAAAAGGAAUUAAAAAACCUUUAGAGACUUACUUCAAAAUGAUUCAAAAUAGGAAAAUCAUUUUAAGUUAGAGAUUCUAGAUAAGCGGUUCCUAUUAACAUUUUAGGAAGGUGUUAGGCACCUAAAGCGUCUGCUAACUUGCAGUUAUUUGGACUGUUUGAAAAUGUCUUUGACUAACUUUGAAAAAGGAAAAAUUGACUUUUUUGAAAAGAAAGCGAUUUUAGAAAUAUUUUGAUGCUUAUACAAAACUAGUUUUUUAGCGACUCGACUAAGGAUUUAACUAGGUUCACAAAGCACAUAAGGAAAACAAACAUAAAGAACAGGGGGAAGGGGAGGAAGUAAGGCAUUUGGGCCAUUAUCCCAAACCAACAAAACCUUUCCUAGUCUAAUUGGGCCUUCGACCCAUUUCCCCUAUCCUAUUCUAGUUUUCGAGCAUUUGGCUCGAAUCUUGCUCCACCUGUAUUAAAUACAAUUUUGGCUUCCUGGCCUGAAUGAAUGAAUAAAGAAAUAAACUGAAUGGAUAAAAAUAGACAAAUGAAGGCAACAAUGAAUAAGUAAAUAAAAAAGAUGAGACUUUCAAAGUUCCUUUGCCGCUUCCAAGAUGGGAUUUUAACCCAUUUCCCUCCUUUUAACUCCUCGCGUCCGUAUGCCAUGCGGUGGAUUCUCUUUCGGGCUUUACUCAAUAGACAUAGUAGGCCUCAGUGGCCCAUGAUGAAUAUGCACAAAGGGAAGAGUCCGUGUAGGACUCAAAUGAUUUUCAUGCAAAGGAGGGAAAAUAAAACACAUUAGUAUAUAAUCAAGCAAAGAAAGAAGGGGGGAAGAAAGUAAAAUAAAGCGAAGGAAGCCUACUAACACAUGAUCAAUCAAAGAGAGGAAAACAUUAAAAGAAAACUAAUGCGGGUUUAACUAAAAGGGCAACGUACGAAUCUUAAAUAAUCAAUAAAGCAGGCAAAUUAACAAAGGUUGGUAUGCGAUUAAACAACGAAGGAAGAAAAUAUAAAGAUAACUAAUACAUGAUUAA
rnacentral:lncRNA from 1 species